GGACAUUAUUCACUUGAGGACGCACUUUGUGGAUGCCAUCUGCUCCACCUUUCUAACAGGCGAUUUCUACCUAAGGCAUGCCCAGCAGGCCCCAGAUGUAAACGUGAACCACUUCCUGUCCUGCAACAAACGGACACAAACACUUCACUUACUCAAUGAGCUCAGGGAGCCAGCCCGGGACCCGGUGCCCUCCAGGCCGUAGAUCUGCACGGAGUCGUACGGCGGCUGGGACGGGUCAAAAGUGACCUGGGCCAGGCGUAGGCGUAGGAACUCGCCCACCCUUAGAGCCAAAGAGGGACCUCCAGAACCUGGUGUCCCCCUGGAUGCCUCCAUUCCUGGGCCCCAACCAGGACUAAAGCCAACGAC